rnacentral:rRNA from 1 species
UACGUAGGGGGGCUAGCGUUGUCCGGAAUCAUUGGGCGUAAAGCGCGCGUAGGCGGCCAGAUAAGUCCGGUGUGAAAGUCACAGGCUCAACCUGUGAAUGCCGCUGGAAACUGUCUGGCUAGAGUCCGGAAGGGGCGAGUGGAAUUCCUGGUGUAGCGGUGAAAUGCGCAGAUAUCAGGAGGAACACCGGUGGCGAAGGCGGUUCUCUGGGCAUUACCUGACGCUGAGGAGCGAAAGUGUGGGGAGCGAACAGG